rnacentral:rRNA from 1 species
UACAGAGGUCCCGAGCGUUGUCCGGAUUCAUUGGGCGUAAAGAGCGUGUAGGCGGCCAGACAGGUCUGCUGUGAAAACUCGAGGCUCAACCUCGAGACGUCGGCGGAAACCAUCUGGCUAGAGUCCGGAAGAGGAGAGUGGAAUUCCUGGUGUAGCGGUGAAAUGCGCAGAUAUCAGGAAGAACACCCGUGGCGAAGGCGGCUCUCUGGGACGGUACUGACGCUGAGACGCGAAAGCGUGGGGAGCGAACAGG